rnacentral:pre_miRNA from 1 species
AUAAGAGUGUAUAUCUGGACAUUUAAAUGGUAAUCUUAUGCCGAGAGAACUUUUCAGCAUCUUUUGAUUAAAUGUUACCAUUUGAAUGUCCAGAUACGUACUCGGA